UUGAAUUCAAGCAACAGGGAGGCAUUCUGCAGCAGCUCCCUUUGGUCCCACGUUUAAUGAGACCAUCAAGGCUGGCUAAGGCCCAUAAACACUGCAGAGGUUUGGAGUGAUUUUGUUCACCAGUGCCACUAAUCCUGAUUUAAAUCAAUUUUUCAAAACUGGGUCCUAUUCUCCUCUCAGUCUGAGUAAUAAAGUGCAUUCAGGGGAGAUGAUGCACAUGAGACAGUGCUGCUCAUGUCAUAGGACUUGAAGAAUAAUCCAGGACUAUAUAUUUCUCUGAUGUUUCAGUUAGUUUUUAAAUGAUUCAGCCAUCAUUUUGGCUAUGCACUUAUUAUGGUAGGUGUUUGAUUUUGAUCUAAUAUGUUCUAAAGACUUUUAAGACCGCUUUUUUGCAGUUUCUUAAAGUAAGAGCCUGUUCCACUCUCAAUGACCAUAAAAAACUCACUUUUCUGGAUAUGGCUAUAUCACCAUAUCUUGCAGUCAGGUCAGUGGAGCAAAAAAAAAACUGAUGUGGGCAAACAACCUGGAGGAAACAGUGAAAUCAAAAAACAGCAGGUCCCUAUGCACAUAUGAUAGAUAGGCAUAUUUUAAUGAAAAAUUACAUGUGUAAAAUACAGAUGUUAAUUUGCCUCUGUUCUUGUUUUGUUCAAGUUACAAAAUAUGCCAAUUUUUCUAAAAUACCAAUUAGCAAAACAAUAAAAAAACAACCAAAACAAGAGAUACUCUUACUGUUACUGGCAGAAUUCAUCGUCAGAGUGAUUUGUUUCACUGGGAUAUAAUGAAAUAAACUGGCUUUUUGGGUAAGGUUUUGGCUGCUUGAAGUCAGUAACCCACUGCUCAUUUUCAGUGUGUGUUUUUGUAGGUGCUGUGUAGGAAAGGACAGGCUGACAACAGAUUUUCAGAGAUACUAUGUUGGAUUUUGCUGAUAAAAAGGCAAUAUUUUGGAUCUUAUGAAUAAUUGGAUCUUAUAAAGAAUCAUUAUCUCAAUUUUGAUAUGUCCCACAAUUUUCUCAAAUUGCUGUUAAGUGCAAAAUAAGAUAGUAAUUGAAUUAAUUGGGGAUUUUUGAAGAAAUAUUUAUUUUUACAUUGAGCAUGAUGACCAAUGAUUUUCUUUGUGUGUGCAAUAGGUCAUUUCUAUGUGCAGAUUUCUUCCAGACUGAAAAAAUGACAACCAAAACUGUAAAUGCAUUUGGACCAGGUCACAUUGAAAAAAAGUGAAAGUAUGUUCAUUUAUGCAAUAUAUAAUUUCCCUUUCUCCUUCUGUCCCAGGUGGGUGUUUGACAGGAUGGAGAAUGCCUGGUUACCAUAGGAAUGCAACAUGCAAGGAAGCUUCUAAAUAGAAAGCAGUUAAUGUAACUAAACCUCUUUUGGUAUCACUGCCUAAUUCCUUUCACCUACAACAUUUAAAAGGCAGAUAUUUGGAAAUAAAUUUUACCUAGAAAAAUUAAAAAACCCUGAGGAAACACCUGGAGCAAAGGCAAGUGUGAUUCCAGACACGUGUAAAUGUGCAGCUCAGAGGGGUUGAGUGUUUUUAUCUUUGCAACAACCUGCUCUUACAAGACAGAUACAAUUCCUGCCAGCGAGUGGGUGCUACGGAGUUGAUGGGAUCUGAGCAGGCUUUUCAUGCCCAUUGCCCUCUACUCUUCAUUAGCUCUGCUCUUUCAUGAUUAAUGUGCUCCCUUGCAGCAACCUUAAUUGUUUUUUUGAGGGUAGGAAGAGUGAUCAUAAUCGCAGCUGUUAUGAAUUUAAUUCCAAUCUGCAAAGAGACUGCACUGUAAGCAAACGUUUUCAUUUGGAACACUUAAAUCAAUGGUUUUCAAUUACAAAUCGAGAACACAGUAGCUGGAAACGUUCCUUACCAGAGGGUAGAUCCUACCCCUAUUAGUCACUCACAUUGCCUAUUGUUCAGGCAUUCACAGUUGAAAUUGUGAGCUCCAGAAAUAAAGGAUGCAGUAUCUAACAGAAAACAUUCCAGUUGUGGAUGAUCUCUAAUUGAUGAGUACAGAUAAAAAAAGCAGCAGCUUAGGUGGCCAUUUUCUCUUGAGUGCUUUGCCAUAGAAUGGCAUUUGGGCUACAAAUGGAGUGGACAGCCUUCUUUCUGUCCUCCUUUCUUCUUCCCUGUGUUCAAGUUUUGUGUAUCACAGAGGUUUAUUUCUACAGUAUAUGCUGCUCUUUGUUGUUGUUUGAACUGUUGGUGUUUAUUUCUUUUUUUCUGUUCUUCCACCCUCAACUUACAGCAGGUGCAAUUCUUUUGUGCCUACACUACAUCCUGGCAAUGCCAUGAGGGAACCUUCAGGGAUGCAGCUGCUGAUUAUGGCAACGUAUGAGGAGAAAUCCCAUCCCUUUAAGGAACACAUAACCAGGAGCACAACUUCAUUAAAGCAAUUUCACUUAAAUUCAGCUUCUCAUUGUGAAAUUCAGAGUACAGAGACAAUACCAGCAGUAGAAAAAAGGAUGAAAACUCCCAGUUGAAGUAAUGCCCAGAAAUUGCAUUCACUCAGUGCCAAGGACCUGUGGAUGGCUGAAGUCUAACAAAGCUCUUCACUGAGCUAGUUCAGGUAAGUACAUUUUACAUAUGAGUAAAGAACAUUUUGUGUAAUUUUUCUUGUGUUUCCUCCUAGAUAUUUGGGGUGACAGUGCAAACAUUCUGUCUUAUCAAAUUAACUGUUUACUCUAAAUUUUCUCAUGAAUUUAAGGAAGCUGCUUUUGAAUUGUGGUGCUGUUCGCUGUCAAUGCAACCAGUGAUGGGUGUCUGUAGUAAAUGCCUUAUUGUCUGUAUAUCACAUUACACUGACACUUCUGUCUACAUAUCUGGUCACCUGUCUGACAGGGCUCUAUCUACUCUUUGAAUUUUGUAGUGACAAUGGAAUGUUAAAGAGGAUAAAAUACAUGUGUGGGUUUGUAUUUAGAUACACAUUUUCACAUCACUUUCAGUCAGUGAAUCAUCAUUAAAAAAAACCAAAUUGCAAAUACUUAGAACUAAAAUCAGCACAGCUGCCUAAAUAUAUAUAUAUUAAAUGCUCUAAAGGAAAUUGCACUCAUAUGCCUGACUUUUUUCUUAAUAUAACAGCAUCCAGGUAGUAUAAUGCUGCAUUUUCCAAUUAUGAAGAAUAACAGAGCUAACCAGGAUGACUGAUUUCAGGCACUUGUGCUUAUGUCCCACUUUAUCCUACAUUAUUUGACAGGAGAGUCCUGCCAGUAACAAUAUAGACAAGACCUUUUUCUGUUGGUUGAAAAGACAGAUCAUAAAAUAUAUGGUGAUGUGAAUUGUUAUGUACUGUGGCUAAUACUGGUUCAGUAUAAACUGUUAGGGUUUGUCAUUGAUGAAACAGUUCUGGUGGGUUUUAGAAUGUGUAGGAAACAUUGGUAAAUAUUUAUCACAUUAUAUAUAUUUUUUUAUAUAUAUAAAUAAUUAAGAAUCAUAUGGCUAUCAAUGAAUCAACGCAAACAUUUCAAAACUUGUGAGAAAAGCCACACUGCCCUUGUGUUGCUUUUACCUUUGGAGUGAUGUGAAACCAUUUCUCAGUGACAUAAAGAAACAUUGCUCAGCAUUGCAGGGUGGCAUAAUUUAAAGCCUUAAUUAAACAUGUAUGAGGGAAGAUUAAAUCCAUUUUUUAAAUGUUAUGUCAUUUAAAAUGUAUAUUUUAUUUAGUAAAUUUGCUAUUAAUUUUAAUCCUAGUGAUAAAAAUAUAUUGAUAGCAUUUAAAUUAAAAUUUCUGUUGAAGAAGCUCUACAUAGAAGUGGGGUGGGAGGUUUUGGGUGUUUGGUUUUGGUUUGCCUUAAGGGUUUUAUGGCAAGGGGGUGGGUGUGUGGGUUUUUUUUCAUUCAUGUGGUAAUGACUAAAAUUACUCAGAGUGGUGGUAGAAUAUCCAUGCUUAGAGGUUUUCAGGACUCAGGUGGACAGAGCCAUGGCUGACCUGCCAAGUUGCAUGGAAGACCAUUGAUCCUGGUGAUUUCAUUAAAGGUGCACUGCUAAAGAUCAGCCCAAACAGAAUUGGGAUCACAAGGCACAACUGAAUCAUAUCUGUGGAGCAGGGAUAAAUCAGCAGCUCCAUUAAGCCCUGUGACUGCCAACUGACAAAAAAAAUCAAAACUAAAAUUCAGGUUUGGUCAAUGGCAUUCAAAUCCCAGAUUAUUUUCCAAAUUAAGAAAGAUUUUACCCAACUCUGUGUAUUUUCCUUCACUUUUUAUCACUGUUACAAAAAUCACUUGUAAAAUUCUGAAGUAGGGGAAGGACAGGUGGCUGUGUCUAAAGACACAUGGCAAGGCAUAAAAUGUGAGAAUUUUCCUUCUUUGUGUAGUUACCAGUAACUUAAUCCUUCUUUCCCUUGGUGCACUGUUACCAUAGAACAUUUUUUUUUUUCUGCUUUGCUUUUAAUAGUUUAAAUUCAUUUUUGGCAACUGACAUUUUUUUAAUCUCUCUAGAUUUCAUCAAAGGUUGAUUUGUUCUUAAAUAAAAACCACAAUUAUGCUACAUAUUUAUUCACUACAUCAAGUGAAACCUUUUCACUUUUAGAUGUUUGGGGGAAUUAUUAGUUUUAUUGAUUAUUUUUCAGUUAAAUUGUAUUCUAUCAAAUUGAAUGGGUCAAAGGUUUUCAAAACCCUUUUGUUCAUUCAAGUAAUUUAAGAUGCUGUUCAGUUACAGUGGCAGAACUGUUCUCACUUUGGUUCAACAUCUCAAGUUUCAAGUUGUUCUCCUGGUCCCAUUAGAUCAUCUUAUUGAUUUGCCAGGCAUUGAUUUACUGGCUGCUCUGCCAGCAGCUAUAAGAGCACAGUUUGUUUGUAGUCUUAAAAAAUAUUCCCAAACCCUGCUCACAGAUUAAGUUUGAGGAAUAGGCUCCAUGGAUUUCAGUCAGAUUUCUCUUUAAAAAUAUUUCUGUGUAGAAAAAAAAGAAAAUGUAUUUAAUGUUAGUUGCAUUUCCCACUGAUGAACAGCUUAGGCAAAGAAAUUGGAAUUAACAGAUUCAUCUUAGCCCAGUAACGCAUUAUUUUUUUUUUUUUUAUUUUUUUUUUUUUUUAGUUUUAGUUUGCACAUGCAUCAGUUUUCUAGAUGUAAUUGUAUUCAGGCUUUUCAUUUUAGUACAAAACAAACACGCUUAGACUUUUGCCUGAAGUUGCAAAUAUUUCUGUGCGGCACAGAUGUGUAAGACAGAGAUUGCUGAGCGGGCAGUUUGCAGUGGAAUUCUCUGCAGACCCCUGCAGCAAGAGGCCCCACAGUUCUUCAUCAGGGAAAUGAGCAGGUCACUGGAAAAUCCAAUAACUCUGUCUCCCCUCUGUUUCCUAGAGCAGCUUUCCCUUUUUUUGUCUCCUAGUGAAGUGACAGAAUCUGUGUGAACAUGGGAAAGCGUCUCCAGGCCUCCACUUCCCCGGUGACCCUUCACUUGGAAGUGCCCAAAACCAGGGUGUGGAUGUGGCACUUGGGGACAUGAUUUCGUGUUGAGCACAAAAUCAUCUUAGAGGUCCUUUCCAACCUCAAGUGAUUUUAUGAUUCAGGGAAAGGUGUUAAAAUAACGAAUUUCCUCCUUGCAUGUUGAUCUGCCUCGUGGAAAGAAACUUGGAAACCUUCAGCAUGUUAUUUUGAUGUGUCAGUUGUGCUCUAAAUGCAUUCUCUCUGGCCAUUGCAGACUUAAGAAAAACUGUCCAAGUUGAAAGAGGUUGUGAGACAGACAGGUGAAGGGUUUGUGUUCAGCCACAGCCUGAAGCAAAAUGGACAUUAGGGAGGCUGUUGAGGCAGGAUGAAGGGAAGGAAGGAAAAUAUAUCUGUCAGUUUUGAUAUAGAGAUGGUGGUGGGUUUGGGGGAUUCUAGGCUCACUUCCAUAUCUGACUGUAGGAAUAGAAAAAUGAAGUGUUCACAGAGUAUUGGUUUUGUUCUUUAAAGUCAAGCAAGGUAUGACAAAGCACCCAGGAAGCUUAGGGAAUAGAAACCUCUUCGCCGUAAAGAAACACACUUCUCAGAGCUGCAAAGUGAGCCAAUAUUGAAAGUUCCCAAUGGCUGAAAUCAAGACAAGUGCCAAAAGUAAAUGUAAGUACAUAAAGAAAGGGGAAAUACCAGAAUCACUGAGCUCUCAGGACACGUGGCAAGCACAGAAGGAUGAAAGCUCUCGACUGGUAAUAGCCAGGAUAUAAACUAUCCAUUCCCCAUAUUAAGCAUUUUGCUACUGCAGUGCUGAGCCUUUUGUCACUUUUUACAGAAGCACUGAUUAUCUGGCAUGUAGAAUACCCUUAUUUACCAUAUGUGUUCAUGGGCUGUCUUGUCUUUGUUGCUGGUUUAGUGUACCAACCUUCCUGCUAUGUUAUUGUCAUGUCAACUUUAAUUACUCUGCUUUUAAAUGCUUACUACAGCAAAAUGACUUUGCAGUGGAUUAGUGUUUACGAGUAUCCACAUUCAUAGUACAUUCUCUGACUGGUGCAUAACAUGCUUUUGAUUCAACAUUUAAAAUGUCAGAUUUGGGGCUUUUAUGUCUAGAAAUGAGUAUUUUAUUAUUUAAUCACUAAAGACAGCUAUGCUUUUAUGAAUAUAACUUUAUAUGUGGGAAAUCUUAUAUUAAUGCAAAAAGAAUAUCUUGUUCUUAACAUCAACUUUUAAGUUUUAUAACAGUAAAUUUAUAAGCUUACUUAAAGGGACAAUCCUUUAUUAAAAGUUUGGUGAAGAAGCACAGACCAGCCCUUGCUGCAAGAGGGUGCACAUGUGAUAAGACAUGCUUAUAGCCAAGAUGAGCCAUAAAUAAGAAUAGUUCUGCAUUGAUGCUUUUGUUUGAGAAUUCCCCAAGACUCAUUACAAUAAAAACUGUGAGUUAUCUUUGGUACAGAAUUUCCUAGUUUUUCCAGACAAUGGAGCUUUUAGAAUUUUAAACGUUUCUUAUCAACUUGCCAAGAGGAAGCUCUGCUGUGAUUACUUAUAAUGCAAAUAUAAUCUGCCCACAGCUUUGGCCAAAUUCCUCCAUUAAGAAUAGAAACAACUGUACCUUGCAGUUCCCCAGUGUCUCAUUGAGCUAUUAGCUCUGUCUUCCCACUACAUUUCGUACCUGGAAGCGUACUUUUAAAAAUAACCCCUAGUUCCAAUGCCAGUCUUCAAUAAAAGUUUCUUCCAUCCUUUUAGUUUCCUGCCUCAGGAAGGAUGGAGAACCCAGUACCACAUAUAGGGAAAAAUCUGGGAGCACAGCCAACAGCAGCAGCAGAAAUGAAAGCCAAGCACCACCAUUCCAACCAGAAAAAUUCUUCCCUCUCCUGCCAUAGGAACCUAUAAAGGCCCUUGGAAAGCCUUGGAAUCAGGGCUUUCCUGAAUAACACACAUCUGUGGGUUAUUUACCUUGUGUUUGGUGUUGCUGCAGUAAGUGCACAGUAGUCACUUGUGUUUGUUUCUUUUAAAUGCAAAACUGGAGUUAUUUGGGUGCUGGUUUUUAGCUUCUUUUUUCUACCUCUGUCGAGGUUGGGAUUGAAGGCACUUGAGACAAUAGUUCACGUUCAGGCUUAGAUGUUUAUUUUUUCUUAUCUAUGUUACAAAAUACCACCCAAACCCAUGAAGAAAAAGGUAGAAGAAGGUGAAGAAGAACAACCUGCUUCCGCCCUAAAACCUCCAUCUUGCUUCGUAUAUAUUACUAUAUUCUAAAACUCCAAACUCUAUUUUUUCCACCCUGUGAUAUUGCAAACUUCUAACCAACUACAAACCCGUAGUCCCAGUGCUAUCAAUCAAUUUUGGAAGUCUUUUCCAUGGCCUCAGGUCAAAUGCAGGGCUGUCCUGGGAGUCAGAGUCUAUCAGCACAGAAAGUCUAAAAUUCUCAGCAUCCAGAACCCUAACAUCUGGGUUCUCAACAUGGAAAACGGUAAUCCUUUUUUUGUUUUUUUUUAAAGUUUUGUAAGGUGAUGCUGCAAAGUUGAAAUUGAAGGUAUUCCCAGGUAUCUUUAUGGCCAAGUUCUCAAAUUUGCUACGGUGAGCUGAAGCACCACUACUCACAUUUUGAUCAACCCUGAGAAAAAAAAAAACAUUUACCGUGCUGGAAGUCUUAUAAAUGAGUAUUUCUUUGUCUUCUGCAGCCAUCCCUGUUUUGUGUUCUGCUGCCAGUAAGAAGCUUAACUUGCAGAUAAUUCGAUGGAGCAGCGUGUCUGGGAACUGAAAUUGUUCCACAUUUCUGGCUGGCGGUGCGCGGCGCUCUCCGGGCUGGCGCGCACCAUCUGCCGCCGCCGAGGUAACUCUGGGGAUGCUCCUCAGAUUGAUUGCGCUCAGCCACGGCCGAGGCACAGGAAAAAUAGAGCUCCUAAUUGCAAUUUACCAGGGAUCUUGUUUAACUCUAGGAAGUGGUAAUUCAGAAAUGAAUGGCUUUGGUGGACAUCUUAGAAUCUUUAAUUAACAGAUUACUCUAUUAACACGCACAUUGUUUUCCAGGUGAGUGAGAUCAUUUGCCCCUGGGGCUUUUUUUUCCAUAUGCCUUCUGUUCCUCCAGCGAAAUAUGUAACAAAUUGAAGUAUUCAUUCUGAUUACAUAAAGCACAUGGGUAUACAAUUAUAUGAAAAGAAAGAUGACAUUUGUUGCCUGCCUUCCCUAAGGCCCCUGCAGGCUUUGCCCUUCACUGAAAAAAUAAGGCAUAAAGUCAUUAGAAUACGUGCUUUUUUUUUUUGCACAUUAUAUUUUUGGAAGGGUAUGUUAUUAAAGCAAAAGCCUUUACUAGAAACAAUGGGAUAAUGAUUCCUUACAAAGCAAAUAAGACAUUUUUCUAAAAUAAUACGUUUUUUUUCACAGAAGUUUUACAUUCUUUCAUAUGUCAGUUAUGUGACCAUUUUGGAGCUUUUAGGAAUGCAUUUAUUCAAUGUUACUAAAUUAAUAUAAUAAAUGUGUAUUAAAGAAAUUAAAUAUUCAUGUAAGUAUAAUCAGUUUACUGCUUAAUUUUAUUAAUCUUUUUUUCUCAUUAUUUUAUGCUUUACUGAGCAAUUAAUCUACAUUUGAAUCCCUUUAUAUGUUUUACAGGGAUACUUUCUGUACUGUGAAACAGUUUUUCAGCAUGUAGUAGGCUGGAAGAACUAGUUCAUUGAGAUCUCAAUAUUUAUUGGAGCAUUAAAUGAAACACUGGGAGAGAAAGUUAGAUUGCAUAACUAAAAUGACAACAUCUAUAAAUUAUAUAAAACCACUAGGAAUCUUUAAAAAUAUAUUUUUGUGGUGCAACAUGCAGAGGAAUUUAUUUGGAAAGAGUUCAGAAAAUGAAUUUGAGGUAAGUCAGGAGUAUGUGAAAUAGUUGUGAAGAAGAGUUUACUUUGUUUUGUCCAUCACGGGACUUGGAUCUAAUCCCUGUUGAAGUUCUGCUCUUUUAUUCUUUAUUUUGUGUCUUGGGGAAUUUUUUCCUUCUUUCCUUCACCUAGCUGACUAAGACAAGGACUCCUGGAUGUAUCUAGACCUGGCCUCUGUCCCACUGGAUUUUUUAGAUGUGUUUUCUGGAUAUCUUGCAGAAAUUCAGCCCAGGGAACUCGAACUUGACCCAAGCUCUGGUUCCUCACCUCUGCCAUCCACACAUGGGGAUGAUGGGUUGUGUCUGGAUUCAUGAUAACAAGUGAUUCCCUCUGCAGAUAGUUUUACUGUUGCUGAUUAAAAAUGACUACAUAAACCACUGUUUAGAUGAAGACUAUGUUGAAUUGGGCUCUUUCCUACCAAUACCUAUUGGAAAUCAUGCAGGUGAUCUUUCCAGUCUCAGCAAGAAAGCUGCCAUCACUAGAGAAGAUUAAACUACAAGACGCUGUGACCAAAAAAACAUCCUGAAACCACAGACAGGAAUUUUGACUUAUUUUUCAGAACCUAAGCUUUCCAUCAUGCUUCAAGUAAAAGAACAUUCCAUGCCUUUUCACUGUUCUAAGCAAUAGGGGAACAUGCAUUUGUGUGCCUGUGUAUGUUUGUGAGCUUUUGUGUUUAAAUUCAGCUACAGAAAAUCUGUUUCUAGCAUCAACAGUGCGUUAUACAUAUUUCACAUUGAGCUACUUUGUAUUGCAGCACCUGCCUCCCUGGUAUUUUGCUCUGGGAGGGCUAUGAUGAGUGCUAUCUUCCAUAUUAUUAAAGGAUAACAUGAGCAUUUGCUGGCAUGUCACUGUAGCAAACAAUGACUUGUAGCUCCCUUGAAAAUUCACACGCGUUUUAUUGCUGCUUGAGAAAAUAACACACAUCUCCUCUGCAGUUCUAGUCAUUUUCCUGAUUGCUAAAGGAUUUCCCCUCUAUUACCUCUGCAUUUUCUGUGUUGCCAGGUGUGAAAUGAACAGAAUCAUAAAGUCAGGCUGUUUUGGAGAAUAAAAACAACAGCACGGUCUGUGCUGCUGAAAUUGCAGCAUACUGAAAGUGGAAAAAUGCUAGUAGCUAUUGGCAAGCCAACAUACGUGACAGAUAGUAGAGUGUGAAAGACAUAUUUGCCAAGUCUUGCAAUUAAAGGCAGUUAAAAUAUAUAUUACUGCCUCAGGAAAAUAUUUCAUCUUGUCCUUAAAUUUCAGUAUAUGCUAAAGUCACUCUGAACGCAAUAGGACUGCUACACCUUGCUUAGAAGUAAAUAAUACUGAUAUUUAAAUGUUCCUUAAGUAUGGCUGGGCUGCCAGGAUGUGACACAUUUGCUAGCUGGAACAAGAGUUUCAGCAGGUACAAGAUCAUACAUUUGAUCCAGUUCCUGGUAAAACCACUCAGGCUUUGUUUAACAUUCCCAUUGAAUUGAAUAGCAGUUGACUCAGCUGAGAUGUGGUUAUGGAAGAGAGGUCUAAAACUGGCUUGAUCAAAUCUGGUUUGGAGAUAGGAUGGGGUAUCUGAGGUUGGGAGGGUAAAAAUCACCUAAUUACAGAGUGAAAAGAGAGCUGUGUGUGCAGCCAGAGGAUUGACUUGGAUAUGCAAAAGGUGUUUAUAUAUUGAAUAAUUUACAGCAGAAGAAAAACACCUGGGACAGUUCUUGCUGAGGUGACAGUGACUUACACAGACUUCUCUAACAGUGAAGUUAGAGAAGUCUGGGUAAGUGACACAAACAUUUCAGCUGAAUGCAUGGCUAAUGCAGGCGAGGAGCAGCCAAGCAGGAGGGGCACUAAUGCACCCAAAUGUCCCUGACAAGCCCCACCUGGGAUCACCCCUACCCUGCCAUGGAGGCUGUUUGAGUUCAGCCCUGGAUGCUCCUGCUGUGUCCUGGCAGUGACACCACAGGACUGAUUCCUCUUCCUUGAGGUGCUGCUUUCAUGGACAGCUUAGGUGAGAAAGUGGUGAAUAAUGUGCUCUGGCUGGCUCAUGUGCUCUCACUGCCUGAUCUAUGAAUGGGCUAACACUUCAUUCUGACAAGGUGCAAACACUUUAAAUAUAUUACAGGCAGCUAGAGUAGAAGCAAAGAUUUCAUUAAGAUUUCUUUUUGAAACACAAGGUGUUACCAAAAUAGCAGACUUCUAUUAAAAAAGAAACAUUGCUGAGAAAAAUCACUUGUGAAAACCUUCGCUAAAGACAAAUUAGAGUGAAAAGCCUAACAACAGCAACAGAAAGAAGCAUAAGAGCUGAAGCUCUGGAUGUUGUUGGGGAGUACACUGGGUGCAGGGAGCUUGGGGUGCAGCUGCAGAGGAGCUCUGUGGGACCCUGAGGCGGAGAAUAUGAAAGCUCUAGAAUAUGAGGCUCUAAAUGAAAAUAAUUACCCAUUUAUAUUCGCACCCUGUGCCCAACAAAGGGCACAGACACAUGUGGCCCAGCCAGGUGAGGGACACCCAGGGACAGAGCAGGAGCUGAGGGCUUGGGGGGAUUAGCAAGACUUGUGCCUGCCUGGACUGUGAGGGAAUAAAAGCCCAGGGGAUGCUUUGUUCUGGGGCCCUCCUCAGAGGCACGAGCUCAGGCUGUUAUUUUGUCAUUGCACCAAGAUUUAAUUACUUUAAAAACUGGGAUGUCCGUGACUCUGCUAAAGGACACCAGGUCUGGCUGUGAGUGGGGUGUGCAGGGAGUUGAGCAGGGUCCCUGUUGGGUCCCUGGGCCACUGCUGUGAAGGGGCUCUGGUGCCAGCAGGGAAAGUCUCUGGUGUUGGGAGCGUGACUGCCAGAGUGCCUCCUGAGUGGUCAGACUGGGAAGUUUCCUUUACAAAGUUUUAGAUUUAUGAUCCCUGUAGGGAGCCCCUUGAUCUGUGUUUUUACUCAGGCAGACCCUGUGGGUCAUUGCUAGAGCAGAUAGACAGGGACUGGGUGAGCCUUUGCCAUGGCUCAGCAUGGCCAAACUCACUGUCUGGGUCAUACAAUAUGGACAGGUUGACAAAAAGGGGAGAGAGAGGGAGAAGAAAAGGGGAGAGUUUGUUGUUUAUUCCAGUCAAAGCACUAGAAAAACAUUAGCUGGUUUAGAGAGUAAGAAUUAAAGUUUUGUGUGUUGCUCUUUAUACAGGCACGAGAAUUCCCUGGAUUCACGACCUCUUUAGUAAGGCAAGCUACAGGCAACAGCUUUUUCUUAUUUAGUCUUCUUUCCCCUCUGAGGCGGGAGGAGUAAGGAGCUGAUGAGCAGCACCUGGGACACCUCUGUCUAGACAGGUCUGUUUGCUUUUUAUGGGAGAAAUUAUUUUUUAGCAUCCGUGUGUGUACAGUUCCUGAUGCAACAGAAGCAUCUUUUUGAUGCAGAAGCCAUACAAAGAAAUAACAUUUCAUUACAACCCAUUAUGAUUUACAGGCUCUGAGGGGGAAAAAAUGAGUGCCAGAAGCUUAUUGGUAAGGGAGGUCAGGCAAGGAGGAAGCUGCAGGAAAAGCUAUCAGUUAUCCCUUAUUGUCUUUUGAAGAAAGUCUCCAAGUAUUUGCAAUCUUCUUCCUCAGAAGGAAAGCAAAGUGAUCUGUUUCUGUUUAUGAGGUCUGGAAUAAACACCUAUUUAACAUGUUCGGCCAUUAAGAGGAUAAGUAGGGCAUAAACAUCUAUGCAGGCAAAUGGAAGACAGAGUAAGGAAUUUCUAGUGAGACUUUGGUUGGUUGGUGUUUGGUUUUAUUUGUGUCUUUGCAUUUAAAUGCAUUUGGGUUAUAACAGAACACUUAAUUCUUCCACUGUAAAUGUACCGGAGAGCAUGUACAAAACAGUAGUGAAGUUUUGGGUGCUUUAUCGUCCUUUUUGUAGGUGCAAAACCGUGUUUUGGACCUCCUAACCAUCAUGGGUUUCUUGUUUCCUGAUCUCAUCCUCAGUUGUGAUUCAUCCUUUAACAGGCUGUUCUGAGGCUAUGAUUGAGUUUAACAUUGUUUGAUACCCUGUUGUUCUGAUGGCUUCAUGUUUGAGCACUGGCAGCCAUAAGCGCAGAUUCCCCUCUUCGUUACCAUCUCCAUUUAGGUUCUGUGCUCUUGGCACAUGGGCACCAGCAGAUGCCAGCAAGUGUAAAGGCACUUGUGUACCAGUGCCCUUAAGAGGAGGGACUUUUUGUAGAAGAGGCACAGCUCGCAAACUGCCCAUCUAAACUCAUUUUGCUUGGCACUGAGGAAACUGGCUCCAUCCUGGGCGAGCAGGCGCCGUGCCACGGCAGCAGAUGGGGCUGAGGGAGGGGAGCACUCGGGAAACCUUGUCCAACCACCAUGUGCAUGUGUCUGAGGGCAGGGUUCCCAGCCAGCAGCCUCGGAAUGGCUCCCUGUCCUCAGCUCCCAGCUCCAGUUUGAAUGGCUUGGUGAUAGAUUUUUAAGAUGUCAGUCCCAGUUUCAAAAUGUGGUGUGGUUCUAUUGCUCUUGACAAAAUUAUUUCAGCCUGAAUGGUGCACUUAUGCAGCAUGGCCUGAGAAUUGUAACCAACAGACUCACAGAAUUAUCCUAAUAUUUGUGUGAUACCAUAACCAGUAUGCUCUGUUUAAUAUUUUGUAGCAUAUUCUCCAUAGUAGGUCACCUAAAGAAAGUUAGAAACUGUCUCAUGCAGGUGGUAAAAAAAUCACAAGCUAAAUACAGGGGUUGUUACAACCAUUUCAAAAGAGAAACAAAUAUGUUCACCUAAGUUUGUUUGUGGCACUAGUGGAAAAGGCAAUGUUAAAAAUUAAAUAAUAUUGCAAUCUAUAAUUACCUGUCUAUUUCUUACCUCAGUCACAACAGUGCUAUGUUUUUGAGGCAGAACAGGAGUUGAGCAUUUUGUGGAGCUGGUUGCUACACCUGUGAUCCAGCAGGGCUCCUGAGUGCCCCCUUUUAUCACCUGAUAAAAGCCCUGAACCCACAUUCUGAGUCAUAUGUUGUCUAUUUCAGUGACAAAUACUCGAGGAAUAAAAAGCCACGAUUGAUUCCACUGAUGUGGGUAUGUAAGCAAUGAGGCAACCCUUCAACCAUAAGACCAGUGAGUGCAAGACAAGAAUUCUUUCAAACUUCAUUUGGUAGAUAUUGCUUUACAAAAAGCACAAUCAUCCUAGAGGUACUGCAUAUUCUGGAUAAAGCCAUUUUAUCUUCUUGAACUGCUGUAAGAACGAGCUUAACAUUAACACUGAGGCUGGAGUGACAGGAACAGCAAAUUAAAAUCAAAAGAAGCAAACAAUGUGUAGACUGACUCAUGAUAUUCCUUGAUCUGUCUAUAGUUGUCACACAGGGCAGUUGUUAUUCUCAUCAAAACAAUUUAAUGACAUUAAUAUCAAUGUGGUGGCAUCAUUUGUUUUUGUGAUGUUUUGUCACUUCAAGAGAGGUCAUUUUUCAUACCCUCACUCAAGUACCAAAGUAAGUAGGAUAACCAUAUUUUUUUUAUUAAGAAAAAAUAUGGUUACCCUGCUUACUUUAUUAAAAAAAUAUAAUAUAAAAAAUAAUAAUUUUCUUGAAGGGUAGAAAUACUUGGGACCUGACUGGUACAGUUUUUUGAUCUGUUUUGUUUGGUGUUUUGUUUCUUUUAAUCGGUUCCCAAAUGACAAUAUCAUUGGGAUAUAAAGUCACCAGGAGAGAGGAGACUUUACAUCCAUAAAGUUAUGUACAGCAGUAAUUGCCCUGACAGUAAUAAAGUUAGUUACUGAAAUUAGUAAAAUUAAGUACAAAGAUAUAGGCUUAAGAGGAGACUUUGCAAUCACUAUAAUGUACUCUUAACUUAUGCCUGGUGUCAGUCUCUGCUGAAAACUCCAGGGAGAAAUUUGGGAUGUCCCGUUGCUGGCAGUGGCAUGGGCUCUUCCUGUGUGUCCCCAGCAUUGUCCCUGCAGCCUCUGCCACUUCCAUGGGCUAGGAAAGCAUGGAUGUGCAGGUCCCUAUAGGUAGUUUUCAGGAAAAAAGCAUCAAGUGAAAACAGUAAUUGUAUUUUGGGACCAGCGGGGCCCUGAGGAGACCUUGGAUCUUGUUUGGUUGGUGUCACUCGGCUUAAUUCAGCAGUUUCAUUUUGCAGUGUAGGCAAGUCUCCGGGGUGGAUUGCAUUGCAGGUACAUAGGGCUUGGAAUGAGGUUUUCAAAAAUCCCCAUAUGAUCUGUUCAGGUAGCAGAGAUCAACAUCCUAAUACCCUCAUACAUUUGGCUUUUUUUUUUCUCUUCAGGGCAGAAGGAUUUCAAAUAUUAUACCAAACCUCUGGUUACCUGUCAGAAAAUGCUUUCCUUGGGAAAUAUAGAACAAAACCAAACUUUAACAAAGCUGCUGAAUUUACUUUCAGCUUUGGGAUUCACUGCAAUACCCCUUACACAGGUCCUACAUUUUGUGUAGCACAGAACCAUCCAUAACAACAGCGAGGAAUUGACUGGGGAUCUGCUUUCCUCUAAUACUGGCAAGAAAAGGGAAAGCUGAGACCAGUUAGGGCAAAGAAUACAAUCCCAGCUAAAAAAAAUAAAUCCUCUCCUGUUUUAAUAAUACUUUGAUUUAAAUGCGUUGCAAUGUAUUUCUUGUAGCAGGAGAGCACCAACACAUUGCAUUGCCCUUGCUGACUGAAUGGUAAUUAAUGCCCAUUCAUAGAAAUAUAUUGAUAAUAUGUUUAGCUUGCAUAGUGAGAGCUAGCAUAUUAUUUUUGGAUGGGGACUUUUUUUUGGCCUUUGGAGUGGUACUGCAUAUUGAGGUUUUAUUUCCCUCAGCUAUUCCAUUACCAGAAUGAAAUGCCAGCAGUUAAUAGGAUGGCAGAGUAAAUGUCACAAGCUGAAGGGACCACAGGAAUGUGGAUUUGCCACAUGUAGGAGCCGUGUUUUAUUACAGCGCAAUGUGGAAUUUAUGAGCAUUGCUAUAAUAUUCUAGAUAUGCCUCUCUGGAAAUAUCUGAUAUAUAUCAGUGCUAAAAGUCAGUAUACUGCAAAAUCAGCUCCCUCCUGCUCUCUGUACCUUUCUUAGAUGCUCUGAAGCUAUAUAGUCCCAGUAAUGUACUGUCAACUAAAGCAGGUAGAACCAGCCCCUGCAUAUUAUUUAUUGGCCUGUGGAUGCAGAUUGCAAACACACUUUAUUACCUGCUAAUUUACCACCUGCUGGCUGAAGGAUGGCCAAAGUCUACUAUUUGUUUUAUAGGAAUUCAUUAUGCCAUUAACCUUUCACUCCUGUAGGCCACGAGCAAGAAUCUCCUCAGUUAAAUCACUCCUGUAAUAAUGCACUACAAAUGAAAACAAUGAUUUAUUGCACCCCACAAAGACUAAUAAACAUAAAUUAUAUCCUAAUGCUCUGUGUGUUGCAGAUGAUUGUGUGCACAACUAGUUACUCUUUCCAAAAAUUGUUCUGGUCCCCUCUGAAACUUUUUACUAAGAAUCGUGCCCAUUUUGGUGCUUCAGGGAACAUUUUCACAUUUUGCUUUGUAAUAACAGAGAUAUCAUCAAAGAUGAUGUGGUUUCUGUAUUUAGUUAUUUUUUAAGGAGGAAGAAGAAAAAUAAAGGGUAAAGCAGCAGCAGUUUCCCCCUCUCCUUUCAGCUAUUACUGCUCUCCUGUGUGGACGGCAGUGAAGGCAUGACGUGUAGUCCAAGGGUGAUCCAAAGAGACAUUUAUAUCCCUCCUUCUCCAAGUCAUAGCAAAACUUUCUGCACAUUUUCUAGAGCUUCAAUAAAUGUUUUGUGGCAGUGUACUGCUGCAGUGAGUGCAGCAUGACACUCUAUCAGUUCUGUAUUUUCUGCACCUUUCUGAUAGCCUAAAAAAUCUGUCCUACCCAUUUCAAGCAUUGCCAAUUAAAAAAAAAAAUCCUCUGCAGUAUGUGACAUUCACCUUGAUACCAGUGACAUUCAGAGAGCCUGCUGAUUUUUAAGCUAGUGAUUAAGAACUGUCUGAAAUAGUUUCACACAUGGUUUGUAAAUCCUCAGUCAGAGCUUUUCCAUCAGUGCCGCUGUUAAAUAUUUCUCCUUGGCUUUGCAGGUGUAUUAACAAAUUCCUUUGCAGGAACUCUCUGUCUUGAAAAUGAAAUAAUCUCUUUCCUCUUGUAAACAUUUAUUUUCUACAAAUACAAGAGCUGCUAGCCAAUGCCUAUAAUGUAGCACAAUUGUGCACCAGAUAGAGGUCAAGCUAGAACAUAACCAAAAAACAAAAAAUCCAGAAGUUUUCCCCCUCAGAAAAUUCACUGGUCCCUUGUGCUUACAUGAAAUGCAGAAGUUUAAAUUAUCUUAUCAGAAUGGCAACAUCUAUUUACAUAAUUUCAAUUGAUCACAUAAAGCAGCAAUUGACAGGGUAGUCUCUGUCCUGUUUAAAUAAAUGCUGUGUGUCUGAAAGGGUUGCAGAAAAUAAGGGCAUUUAUUCUGUUUAUUUCCAGAAUAGAGUUGGUACAGCUGAUUUAAAUCCUCAUGACAGUUUGUACCUACUGGGGGUAAGGGGGAGAAGAACAGUAUCAAGCUCCUCUGAAUCUCAAAGUUAUUGCCAUCAUGCUCUUAGUGAUAUUUUGCUCCUUUGAUAUUUUUUAGCUAUGGAGUUGGAUUGCAAAAUAAGAAGAAAGAAAAAACUGCAAGGAGUUCCUGCAGCCAUGACUGCAAGCAGCAGCAAUCCCAGUGUGCCCUGACCUGUAGGAAGGCUGUUGUCUGGAAGUGAGCAGAGUCCUGGGGAGCAGACAUACCUUCCUUCAGGUAAGUCACACAUGAAAGACAUUUAAAGUAUUAACCAAGAGAAAGUACACAAAUAUUUCAGUACAUUGAUUUUCUCAUGUGCCCUGAAAAGGGAUCAUGCAGGAUUCCUCACUGAAAAUAAUCUGGUCUUCAUGGUUUAAUUAAUAGUAUUGCAUAGACAAAUUGAGGGCAAGAGAAUGAUCUGGCAAGUGAGAAUUUCUGGUGCUCAGUGAGGAGUGAGUUACACAUGAUGUUGCUCCUCAGCAGUGGAAGGUGGUAAUGGACAGGCUGCUGACUCAAACAUUAAUCUUCUCAGCUACAUCCAUAAAUGAAAUGCCAUGCCUAACAACUCCUCUUUUAUUGGUAUUUCAUCCUGCUUUUCCUGAUUAAAAUUAAUGUCUGUGCAUGUAUGUAUGAAAAUGGGGAUUAAAAGAUCUACAUAUUCAGAUGGUCAGAGAUGGUUCACACACACACAGAGCCCAGUUUCAAAGAACAGAUAGGGAAAAAAAAAACAGCUGCAAAAAGUCAGAGCACCUGCUUUUAACAAACAUCAGAACCUGCCAAAAUUUCAUCUUGAGAUGUGCUUAAAACUGUGACAGAGAUAACCAGAAAUUACUGUGCACUGGGAUAGCAAAUUAAAAUCCAGAAGUCAGUGAGGCCACAGGAUAUUGGAUUUAAGACCUUGAAGAGGUUGUCAAUGUUUUUGACAUUUCAUUGCUGGAAAUGUAUCAGUGUGCUCACCGUGUGGAUAUAUUUGAAUGCUAAAGCUGGGUGAAAGGCUAAGUUAAAUCCAUAGGAAAAUUUGGCAUCAUAAGUAGCUGAGCAUCCUCAGUUCCAGUCAGUCGUGGGAGCUGUGGUAAUAUAAUGUAUAUAUGAAAGAAAUAUGGCAAAUAUUAUUCCAAUGAAACAAAAGUGAGGUGUUUUAUUGAAGUUACAGAUUGACUUUGGGUCCAGCUUGGUGUGACUUCUCUGCUGGUGUAGUAUUAAUGGGAAGUAAAAUGAAAGUUCCUCCCCAAGGGUCUUCCUCCCCAAGCUUUGCCAUGUGCAGGGCUGGGUGUUAUCACUGGGGCUAGAGAAGAGACACAAGUUUUACACUGUGUUUUCCAAGUGUUGUGGGUUUAUUCCAGGUCUUUUCAGAAGACACACAUUGAUGUUAUUUCUCUGAGCACAAGUUGAAUCCCUAAAUUCUAAAUUCCUCCAUUUUAGCUUUGCAGUUAAGUCUGUUGAAUUUUACUUGUCCCACCCUGUUCACUAAUCAAGCAUAGCAUUUUGUAUGUUCUCAUACUUUGAUCAGCUUUGACUAAAUCAGAGGCUUUUUAGAAGAAUGCUUCAAUAACCUGUGACAGAAAAGGAAAAUUUUAAUGAAUGUCAUGUGUACAAUUUUAGGGGUGUUUUGUGGAUAACACUGUGAGACAUGACUGACAUGUUAAAGCAUUUUGUCCUUUGCCUCAUGGAAUUUAUUAAACUUUUUGCCUUAAAAAGGGUGCUUUUUCUUAUGAAACAUAAUCUCCCAUCACUUCUGACCACAGAUCCAGCCUGGGGUAUCUUACAGUAAAUACACAGCCUCAUCAAAUCACUCCUCUUCCCACGUUUCAGCAAUAAUUCUGAGGGAAUCUGAAUAAAUUACUUCGCAGCAAAUGGUACAGCUGCUCUCAAACAGCAGAACUAAUGAAUUGUCAUGACUGGAGAGAGGGAGAGGUGCCGUGCAUCUGUAAUCCCAGACAGCUGACAGGAUGGUGCCUGAUCAGGUUUAGUCACUGUUGGUAAUUACAGGCUGAGAAAUUACAGCCACUUUUAGGUUAAUAGCUGGUAAACACCUCGAGAUAACUUACAGCAAGAGAGGACUUGCCCUGCAGCUUAAAAAGGGGCUGGAAGGACAUUUUGUGCUGCUGUGCUGACCCUCCAGCAGUGCCUGUCCAACCCCAAGCCUUUUAAUAUCCAUGACAUUCUGGCUCCAAAGACAUUCUGCAUACAGAACUGGGGACCUUUCCCCAUUAAUUUUAUAUCUUUUUAAACAGAGAUGUAUUAACACUUUAAAGGCAAGGGUACUCAGUUGGAAGAAAGAAUUCAGUUAUUAUUCUCCUCUGUCAAUUCUUCUCCUCAGCUAAGUUUGUAAUGUUGUAAUGAAAAAUGUCAGUGGUGUGAUGGUUAUACCAACAAUAGAAUCAUUUGCUCUCUCUUUUUAUCUGAGGGUACUAAAUCUGACAUGCCAGUUAUAUCUCCAGAGUGGGUUUGAGUGAGUAGUGAAUACCAGCUCAGUCAGCAGAGUUUUAAAUCAAUCCUCGUGCUUUGUAAAAGCAGCAGUACCUUGUCAGCUUAGAAAAUGUUAAUGGACUAUCUGGCAAGCAUGACUUGAAUUACAAUUUCAAACUUAUAUUUUACUAUACUCAUCAUUUUUGGUUUUAUUAUUUCCUCUCAACAGUAACGGACAUAAAUUCUCUGGUAAACCAGACCAAGUGGUUCAUGCACAGAUAGAGAAACUAAGGCAAAGGUGACAAGUGAGAAAGGGAAGAGCAUGACACAUUCUGAUUUAUGGACAAAUUCUAAUGACAUACCACGCUGAAAUCUAUCAUCUUUCAAAAGUGAUGAAAUGAGCAGAGCAGUCCAAUGAGACAAAAGGCAAGUUUAAUGUUCCUCUAUUUUAUAAUAUCUAACUUCUGGAAACCAUACAAGAAGAUAUUGAAAGUAAAAUGCAUGCAAUAGAGGAUUAAAUUUUUUAUUUAAAUUCUUUAUAACUCUUUGAUAUAUUUGACUGGGGAUUCUUUACUUUUAAAAAGUUAAAAUGAACACAUAAGCUUGGGGUUCUGGGCUAGAAGUGUUUUUUUUAUUAUCUGAAAUGUGUACUAAGCUUGAUAUGAUGUCUAAGUAAAAAAAAAAAAAACAAAAAAACCCAAAGUUAUUGCAUUUGAAUUUCUUGUUUCUUCUUGGUCUGUUCCAGUCAGUUCUGGUGCCAUUUGAAGUGUCACACUAUUUGUGUGUGAAUGCAAAAGAUCUCAGUAUUGGAGAACUGUCUAAAAUUCAUCCCAGAUCUCUCAAAUUUGGCUUCUGUGCAGAGAGAUUUUCUGUGCAGACAUCUUCAGGCAUAGAGAUAGUGUGAAAAACUACGGAAUAUCUUUUUAUAGCUUCAAAAUGAAAAAUGUAAAGAUAAAGCUUGGUAAUUCAUUCAAACUUUAGAAAGUCAUGAAUAUGCUUACAUUUAGGUCACUAUUUGCAUAUAUGGAAACCUCUUAGAGAGGAAAAUCUUUUUAUACAUUCUGUUUGAGGCAAAAGUAAAUUGCUGAUAACUGUUAAAAUUUCAUUUAAAAAAACCCCUUAAAUCAGUUCAUACUAUGGCUUUCCUGGUUCCCUUCCAAAAAGGAGCUUUCUUGGUUGUCUGAUCAGUAAGCCAUUGCAGAAAAAAUUAUUCAGAAUUUUAUUUGCACCUUCUGUUUUGUGUGUGUGGCCUUAGACUGUGCUUGGACUAUGGUCAAAUGAAUAAAUGUAUUAAUGUCAACAAUUUUCCCAUGGAGAAACUUAGGUUUCACUAGAACACUCCACCCAAGUGGUGGUUCCUCUUUUCACCUCUCUUAUCCCCUGCUUCCAAAAAUUAAACUUGUGGUUUUGUAUCAGUAACCCUUUCCUCAGCUGUUCUGAGGAUGCUCAAGGUGUGCAGGCUUUCUAACAUGGUAACACCCUCUGUUCCCCAAGGAUAAGCCUCAAGAUACUCAAAUUAUUCUUUUGGAUUGUUUAUGAACCGUAGGAAGUGUUUUGGAGACUGAUUCUGUAAUGAUUUGGGAGCUUGUGACCUCAUUCAGAAAUGUCCAGUGACUAAUACAGUGCAGCAUCAGGUUUAAAAGGGUUUGUGGGGGUCUGAGGAUUAUUUCUUUGAAGGUUUUACUAUUUCGUGUGGUGUUCCGGCAGCCUUUAUUUGGAUUACUUUAUUGCAUGUUUCUUUAGUAAAGGAGCAUUAUGCAUUUCAAGGAAACAUGUUUUUAGUUGGAUUAGGAUUUGAUUUAAAAAAUAAGAAAAAAAAAUGUCAAUUGGAAAAUUACUGUUUGAAGAUGCUCUAGUUAAGUCAUGAAGCAGUCAUUACUUUCUGCUUUCCUGACCAGGCAUAAAAAACUCCCCCUCUUUAAAAGGGAGUGCGAGUCAAAACUUAUUCAAAACUUGUUACUCAAUUUUUUGCUGUUGUUAAAGCAUCUUUAAAUUUCCAAUAAAAUGAUUCUGAACUGGGAUUAGAGGAAGAAAUUAUUUUCUAUUUCCUGACUGAAGUCCAGCAAGUUAGGUUGUUUGGUGCUUUUUAGAAUUUUUUUUUUUUGGAUUCUUUACUGAAUGAACUGGAAACAGGAAAAAUGCUGCUUGUUUCACCACUGUUGUAGACCUUAAACUAUACUUUUUAAUUUAUGUUACUCAACUGCUAGUACUGAAAGAGUCCACAAAACUGCAGAAGGCUUCUUGUUUACUUUAGUGCAAGCCAGUAAUGCUGGGGGAAAAACUAAAUGUCCUGCUUUAAUACCUCUUAAAGGAAUUCUGCACGUUGAGAUAAAGAAAUACCAGAUGUCCAAAAGAAAAAAAAAAACAAAAAACUCCAAAAUGGCUCGGGAAAUUAGAAAUUAUAAUGGAAACCUGAAAUGAGUCAGGAUCCUGCCUCAGUUUUAUUUCCACUGUAACCUGGCAGAGAAGACCACAGUUGUCUGUAAGCAGCAAUGGCAAAGAGCAUGGCACAACCCAUUUCAUCCAGCUCCUCGGUGCUGCCUUAACUCUUGAAAUUAUUUCGUUUAUUUUUGCAGCUGAAGGGCUUUGAAAGAGGAAAUCCCCCCAGGUGGGGAAGUGGCAGAACACCAUCUCCAGGGGCAGUUGUCAGAAAGUCUGGGGCUGCCAGUGUUGCCUUGCUCAGCUGGUGAUGGGGGAAAUGCUGCAUUCACCUCUCCAAAAUGAGCAGGAUGGGCCCCUUUGCAGAGGAAAAGAGGUGAAGAAUUAAAAAAGGUAUUUUUUAGAAGUUGUUGGAAUCUGAAAUGCAAAGAACUCUCAGAAGUUUAGGCCUGUAAGCCAAAGCUUAAAAUUAAACACGGGAUUCAAUCUAAAACCUUAAAAAAAGCUUCCAAACUUAGUAUUUAAGUUUUUACCUAAGUACUUAAGUAUUAAGCAAGAAUGUAGAUUUGUAGUUUAAAGCAGAGACAUGUUAAGCUGAGUAAAAAAAGGUUAAAAGUUUUAGAGUUUAAAAUACUAAAAAAAAAAUUCCAGAAGUAAACAAAGAGAUUAAAAUACAGUACUGUAAGUUUGUGUCAUAAUGUGAUUAACUAAGAAAGCUUACACUGUGACAUAAGUUCAUAAGACAAAAUAUUUAAAGAUUAAGUAAAAAACUUAAAUAUACUUGUUGGUAGUGUUUUAUUAGUCAAUAACUCCUUAAAAAGUCUUGUAAUUAAGGGUCUAGUGACCUUCUGACCCACACUGUAACAAUGUGAGCCAAACUCACACUUCCUACCUAUGUAGAAGAAAAAUAAAUUACAUCAUCAAAAAUCAACUCAAAAGUCCCAUCUAAAAUUCCUUCCUAAAUUCCCCACAAAUAAAUUAUCACGAGAAGUGAGCACUUCAGAGAUCAUAAAUUGUGCAAAUCCUUUCAGAGUAGAUCACCUUGGAUUUUUUUUUUUUUUUUUUUUGGAAGCAAACUAUAUACUAUGAUAGACAAAUGCCUACAAUUUUGCCAAGUGGUUUGCUUUUUUAUAUUUUUUUGUAACUGAAAAAUUCAGAAUUUUGUCUGAAGUGAUCUCUUACAGCUGAACUAAUUCACAUACGCUUGAUUGAACAGAGAAAAGAAAGAGAAGCAUUCCUUGUGCUCAACAGUUCUAGCUGGAAGGGCCAUUCACAAAAUUACCCACCCAAAAUUCUGAACUUACAUCUUCUAGAACAGAAGGGAGCUCGUUGUUGUGGUCCCCAAGGAAAACCCAACUCUGACCUGUGACAAGGGGCCAGGAACCAGCAUGGCCCAAGAAUAUCAAGUCACAGAGGCAGGUUGCAUUUCCAGGACCCUGGCCCAGGACAUCCUCCCUGCUCAGAGGCUGCUUCCAGCAAACUCACGUGCAGCCACACAAGCUGCAGAGGAAUUUGGCAUCAAUAACCUCCUGCAACACAUGCAACAAAGCUCUGGUUGUCUGGUGUAGAAAGAUUUACAAGUGCUUGUUAAGCAAAAGCAUUUUAACACCAUUUUUUAAAUAGAGAAAUAACUCAAGGAUAUGUUGCAUGUUCAGAUAAAAAUGAUAAAAGAAAAGCUUGGAUGAAACAAAAUCUUGUAGUAAUGUAAAACCCCCUGGCAUUAUCAGCUUUUGAAGCGUUUCACUCCAGUUUGCAUUUAUGCUAAUGAGUACUUGAAUAUUUCAGUGGCUUUGUGUGUUUGCUUCAGCCUGACCCAAUAGUAUGCUUUUAAGAUUUCAUGCUCUGGGAUAAAAUCAUGUCUUUUGCCUACAAUUGGAGCACUUGUUCCUCAUUCCUCACUUUUAAGAGUCCCUGGGACCAAGGCUGCUUGCAGUGUGGUGUUAUUUUUUCCCACAGAUGAUGGGCUGCUGCUGUUCCAGUCAUGUCUCAAAUGGUCAGUGGGAUGAUGAGACAAACACCUGUUUAUUUGCAGUCUCUAUAAUCUGUACCACGUUUGCAGAUGGUGCCCUGCACAGUUCUGUGAGGUAUGUGCUAAAUAGCCAUGAAUGACUUGGAAGGAGUGCUGGAAAAAAUACUGACAUUAAAACUUUCAGCAGUCCCACUCCCAUCAGAUUUUUAGACCUGGCUGAGCACAGAAAGGGGAGGAUCUCAAGAUUGCAAAUGUUCCGGGGCUGCUAAAGUGCUAUUUUUCAGCUGUGAGAGAAGCCUUCUGUAAUACAGAAAUGAAGAGGUUUACCCAGCAGAAAAUAAGUGUUGCCACUUUAUUGUUUUUGGCAGGAAAUGGUGGUUCAUCAUUUGGACACAUCAGGUACUUUCCUUGUGACUGUCAUAUAAUUUAAAAUGACAGUGCUUCAAACGGUGACAAAAUGACAAAGCACUGAUCUGUGGUGGAAAUUUAGCAUGGAGAGAGAGCUGCAGCCAGGCAAAAUUAUUUUGAAAGGGAGUUGGAAGAGCACUUUGCUUUCAGUUUAUUUAUUUACUGGGCUUUGCCUUUGCUGAUUCACUUGCAGGGACCCAGGAGCUGUGAACCUUGAAGCGAAUAUCUCCAAUUUGUUCGGUAUUGUGUCCAUGGCUCUCUCUGCUCCAACAUUUUGAGGACUUGUUUAUACAACAUUUUUCAGCCCUGUGAAAACUGCUGAAAUCAAACCUGGUGUAUUUGCUAUGGCUGGUGUACCUUUGUAUAGUAAAGAAAGAAAUCCUCCACAUAGUAAAGGAAGAAAUUAAUGGUUAAAACUCACUUGCUGGUUUGAAUUGGCACAGUUGUUUCUGAGAUUCUCACAUGCAGAGAAUUUGCAUUUUGGAGAUACAUGUUCUGCUGAACUUCCCCAGCAUUUGAAAUUCCUGGAAGUGCACAGGAGUUACCUUGUUACAGACACUGUCAGUGUCAAUAGCUGAUGGUAGGAAAGUAUCCAUGUGUCUGGGAAUUCACAGCUGCCUUCUGAGAUCCUUAAUCCUACAUAUUUUUUUUUUUCCUGAGGGACUUGAGUGCAUCUUAAAGGAUGAAAGUGAGGAUAGGUUUUGUGGUCACAAAAAAUAUAUUUUUUUGGUAGAAAAAUAGUGUAUGUUUUAAAUAUGGUGAUUAUAUGAAGUCUAGUAAAAUUCCAUCUAACUAAAACACAUUUCUUUCAGCAAGGACUGAAGUUAAAUUGAUGCCUUGUGAAUGCUGCCCUAGAACAGAGGCUAAAUGGAGUUAAAGAAUAAAGUAGGGAUUUAUUAGGAGGCCUCAAUGGAUCCACCUUGGGCAGCACAAGAGCUCAGCCACGGCUACACCCAAGAUGAACCAAAAUGGUCAAAAAAUGGACAACCAGUCAUGAGGUUUCACACUUUUAUAAGUUCUGCUCCAUUUGCAUAUUGGAGUUAAUUGUGCAAUUACAGCUUUAGAUUAUGUAGUCCCAUCCUGUUUGUUUUUCUCUCUUCAGCCCACAUUGUUUGUGCUCUUGGUCCUGAGAUUUGGAUCAUUUUUCCUCGGUCCCCAGCUAGAGCAGGAAUCCCUACUCUGUGAAGAGAGCUCACCAUCUCCUAAUAUGAAGCUCAGACCCACACACUAAAGCAGCUCAGAAUCUGAAAAAUAGAAAAGCUAAAACCUGAGGCAUCCAAAAAAGAUUCUUGAAGUGUACAAACACAUAUCAGAGGGGUGUUAGUGAAUGAUACUACUAUCUUAGAAACUGGAGCUGUUGCUAAAAUGUACCACAGCUGUUUAAACUGAAAUUAAUAGACAGGCAUCAUGUGCCACUUGAUUUUUCUUAAGUAAUUUUCACUGCUGUUCCCAGGAGAGGCUGUGAAUGUCGAUUGAUUUACAGUGAGAAGGAUUAUCCGGUGAUUAUCUUGCUCCUCAUCUUACCAAUGGGUUUCCUCUAAAAGCAUCAUUCCCUCCUUCCCACCCCAUGGCCCUGCUGGGCUGCAGGGGAAGCCCAUGUGGGGAGCUGGAGGAAGGUGUUCAAACAAACCCCCCAGCUUUAACCCAGCCAAGGGAAUGUUUUCUGUGCUGCCCCUGUUACUCAGUACAGCAAUCACUAAUACUCAUGUCCAGGAGGAUGUCCUUUUUCUCUGGUCAUUCAGGAGAUGAGAAUUCUCUGACUGACUGGAGGGUCUGUGCUUGUGGUUUACAGGCUGGAACUAUUCAGAGCCUAUAACCAACUGUAAAAUGCCACAAAUAGAACAAUAUCAGGACUGGAGCUACCCAGUGUGCUUCAGAUUAACAAUGGGCCCUGUAAGUACUGCUGUUAUGGUGGGAAUUCUAAAAAGCAAAGCCAGCUCCUGUGGAUGAUGGAGCUUGGUCAGCAAAUUACAAGGUGUUAAAGAAAAAGCUUUUGUGCCUAGGAGCUGUUCUAUGGCUUUGUUCAGUUUGAAUUUCUCUCAUGUUUUUUGUGAUUGACUUAUAUUUCUAAACAAAUAUCAACUGCCAGCUCCCACAUGCCCCUUUGAAGCAAAGCAUUAAAUCCCCAAACCAUCUGUGCUGCAGGAGACUCAGAUUGGCCCAGUACUGCUUCAAAACUCAGGCUGCUGCGACUGGUCAGUGAUGCACUGUAGAGAUUUAAAAUCUGGUUUCUUGCUUCUACCUUCCAGUCUGUGGUUUUAAUCUUCUGUGGAGCUGUGCUGAACAGAACAGCUGGCCUGUAAUUGGGGGAGAUUGCUGCAGCCAUUUAUCUCUGUGGGUGUUACUCCUGUUCUCAGCAUUAUUGCAGAUAAAAUGGUUAUCAUUUUCAGCUAUAGUGUCUUUCUAAGACAAAAAUAAGCAUGUGCCACUUACCUUUUCAGUGUUAUUGAAUCAUUUUUGAAUCAUUUCAGUAUAGAAUGAUUAAAUUUUUUUUUCCUUUUUUUUUUUUUUUUUUUCCCCUGCUGAUCUGUGACCAUAGCUCUGGAGAAGUCGAGCAUUGUUAUCACUCUCCUGCUAUUUAGCAGAAGGGAGAGGGACCUAAAUAAGCUCAAAAGUUUUUGAAUACCCUGACUGGAGUGUCAAAAUCCUUUAACAAUCAAAAAAAAAAAUAUAUUUUAAUUCUUUUAUAACUGUGCGUCCAAAUUCUGCAGGUUAUUCAGGCCUUGUUGCACUGCCUGCUUUUCAUGUCACAUUACUGUUUUCUUCUACUCUGAAUGGCCCUGGGCAGGUGCCACUUUUGUUGAGCCUGUCAUUUCCUACCUCACAAAACCGGGAGCCCUACUGGGUGGUCAGAGUUCAGCUGAAUUUUGGAAGAGGGCUUGUACUAAAAGACUAGGGCAUGAAAAAUCUGAUUUCAGUCAUUAUCUUUAGAAAAUAUUUCUAGUGGGACCUUAUAUGAUCCAUUAAUGAGUCUGGGUAUGAUCUGCAUCCUGCCAAGGUUAAUAAAGGUGUUUCUUUUGACUUUUGUGAACUUUAACAUCCUCAUCCACUAUGUGGGGCCAUUGCUGUCUUGUUUCUCUUCUCUUUCUGUCUAAGAAACUGGUAAUGCCUAAUGUGCAUUUAGGAAAAACAAAACACAUGGCUCUGGCAGCUUAAAAGUAACGCUACUAAUGCAGGAAGAGCAACCUUUUGAAGGUCAAGUUAUCAUCACACAUCCAAACUCCUGAAAGCAUUUGUCAUGCCUUGGGAAUUGAGCUGAAAUCUGACCCAUCUUGGAGAAUAAAUCACCACAGAAAGAAGGCAUUAGAAUAUCUCUUCCUGAAGUUCCCUGUGGAGCUGAUUUCCUGGAAGGAGCCUUAGGUAUGGUGUGGGUAAUGGUCCUGGUGUUCUGGGAGGAGGCUUGUGUUUGAAAAGCAGCAGGGAGCCCAGAAAGAGCAGGAAAUCCAGCAGAGCUUACAGAGGGAGGGACUGCAGCUCCUCCUUGCAGCUCAGGGGAAAGCUGGACCUCUCUUCAGGUGUGUCCUUAGAAAUGUCAGCACAUAGACCUCGUUCUGAAAGUUUUAAUGCCAGUACUUGACAUUGGAUAACUUGUAAUAUACAAAUUUUAUCAGCUCCAUGAAGACUUUAAAAUGAAGGAAGAGGAUGAGUAAGUCCUGAGAGUUUGCUCCCAUAUUAGAGCUCCUUGUACUGCAAACUCCAUGUAAGUAAAAAAUGAAAGCAUUUGCCUGUUUCAUAAAGCUAAGCAUAUUUGAUAGUGCCACAUCAUAAAACCCUUGUCUCUGGGGUAGCUGGGUGUGGUAGUAGUAAAAGUGUCUGAUUUAUUUUACAAAUUCUCUGUGUUCAUAACCUGUAAUUGCUUUUAUUACUUGUAACUCCAGACAGGUGUGCAUAGAAGCAAUCAGUAAUUUCUCCUCUAGCCACAUGAUUUCAUGUAACCCAGCCAAAGUCCUUUGCACAGAGAAAGAAAGCAAAGCCCCAGGAUGAAAGCUCUGCCUGGAAUUACCCGGAAUUAAAUGGUGAACAUGAAAAGGGUAUUAGAGAAAAUAGCUGAGGGCUAGCACAGGACUUCUCUCCUCUGAAUAGAGUCUAAGACACAACCUGGGUCUGCUCUGUGCCUCUUUAGCCAUUUUUGUUUUAAUGGUUUGUGCUAAUGUGGGCUGGAACAAAUGUAAUGUAUGUAGGGAAAAAAACCCUUUCUUCUCUAAUGUUCAGUUUAAAGUGGUUUACAGACAAAAAGAAAGCUGAAUAUAGUGAACAAUUCAAUUCUAGCUAAGGAAAGGAGCUGGCUUGGAAGAGAAGGUGGCUGAGACUGAAGGCAAACACAGCACAAGAGAAAUGGGAACUGCUGUCUUAUAAACUGUGUAUUUCUCCUGCUCUGUCAGUUUAUUCAUAAUACUCUGUCUUUAAGGUAAAAAAAAUAUAUAGCAUGGAUAUUUUUUUCCAUUUUUCUUUGGCCAUUUGUAUACUUUAUCCAAAUUAUAUCUUUUCAACAGUUUUUUUUUGUCUUUCUUUCCAUGGCAACAAAGAGCCAAGGCUCCUUUGCCAAAGCAGUACAAUCCUUCACACAACUCCCUCUUUGUGCUAAGGUGGGUACAAAUCCACACCUGGUGUUAGGACUGCUAACAUCACUGAUCAAUAAUAACGAUAAUGAGACAGUUCCUAGCAAGGCAUUAUUAAUAUGAUGGUGACACCCACAACAAGUGAUGCUCUAAGUUUUAUUACACUAAGGCAGCCUUAAAAUUUUCAAAUCAUUUACAGCUUUAUCACACUUUUUCAGGAGCUGUUAUUGCUCAGCCAUUCCUCCUUUUCAUCCUCUUGCCUUCUCAGAUGAGAGAAGAUCUUUGGUGCUUCCAUUUUCUCACUCUGUGAAUGGAUCAAACAGCCCAAAAUGCACAGGGCUCUGAAACAGGAGCCCUGGAAGAGGGAGAUUACAGCCAGAUAGAACAGACUGGUCUGGUUCUGUAGUUGUGUAGUUGACAGUUGUGAGCAUAAAAGCAUCAGUAACAAUGGCAUUUUUAGAUAAAAUAAUAAUAGAUGAAACAAAGUUAAUUUUGUACUAAAUACCACUGUAAUAUUAUGUCUUGCAGUAAAUUUCUAACUAUUCUGAAAUGAUAAUCAGUUUUCUUUCCUGUAAAAGGAUCCAUAGUCUAAGGAGAUUUUUGAGUGGCAGCUUAGAUAUGAGAAAUGUUAUUUGAAUUAGGCAUUCUUAUCCAUGUUUAUAGUACUUUCCAGAGGCUUUCUCUCACUUUUAGGCCUUCUUCACAAAAGCACAUGCAAUAAAAAUGUUACUGCUGCCAGCUUGCAUGCCUGAAAGGUCAAUUCUUCUUUUUCUUCUAACUUUAUCAGUUUCUUUAAUAAAAGAUAUUAACUCUCUUCACAAACCUGUCUCACAGAGAGAAGAAAAAUAUCCCCAGCUCCAAAGAAAAUAUCACUUCUAUUUAAUGAUUAAAACAAAUCAGUGUGAGAGAAGACAUAAGGCAGCUACCAGAAAUUUCCGAAGGUGCUGCAGCUGCUCAGCACCAACUCCAUUCCUCGAGCCUGACUGGUGGAACAUCCCCUUGGGAGAGGAGACCAACACCAAACUCACACCUUUCACUGCUGCAGAGGACUUGGGGAGCAAAGUCACCUUUGCUGAGGUGACUUUGGGAAGGUACCACUGGAUUUGUCAGGGGAAACGGAUGGGAGAGCACUGCCUAGGGCCUCGAAUACAAACACACAUCAGAAUCCUAGAAAAUUAUUACAAAUAAGAUCAUUCCAAUACUAAUAAUUUAACCUGAUUAAUAACAAUAGUAGAAAUUGCAUUGCCAUAAAAUAUAACAACUGUGGUAUUAAAAUAAUGUUUUUUCUAAUAAAUAUGUAAGUAGUUCUUACUAAUUAAUAGCAACAAAAAAAACCCAUUGCAAUUCCAUAAAAUGUAACAGUAAUUAAUGGUAACAAAUUCAAUUACAUUUCUAUAAAAUGUGACAACUAUGAUAGUACAAUAGUAAUUAAGACUAUACAGUAGUAACAAACAAAAAUUAUUACAUUUCUAUUAAAUGUAACAAUAAUUAAUACUAAUUAAUAGCAACAAACAAACCAUUACCUUUCCAGAAAAUCUGCUGGUAAUUAAUAGUAAGUCAUUACAUUUCUGUAAAUAUAAUUCUACAAUAUUUAAUCAUUACAUUUCUAAAAAAAUAUAUAAUAUUAAUAAGAGCAAUGCUAAUAAGUUGUUGUCCUAGUGCAGGUAACCAGACAUGUGGUGUUUAUACCAAGUAAAACACACACCCCAGUUCCAAUUUUGAGCUAGUGCAUUUUUGUUCCAGGUUCAGCAUUUAAAUUCUGCCCCUCUCUGGGUGUGAAUAUGAGACAAGUUAUCCCUGUGUGACAGGGAAGAGCCAAGCCUGUGCAGGUUUGAUCAGCACAGUGUGCUCUGCAUGGUCACUGCUUGAUUAUUCAAAGGUGUUUGUGGAAAAUAAGUCUAAAGUUCAGCUUUGGGGGAUGAUCAUUCUUUCUGCACCAUUUAAGCACAUCAUCUCAUUUCUAAGUGGCACUGAUUACAACAAUUCAUGGGCAAGCACAGUCAUUUUCUGAAUGGAAGGGUGAGAGAAAUGUGACCCUGUCACAAAACAAAGCCCACGCUACAGUGAGUGCUGCUAACAUGGGCUAAAGGCCCGGGGGGGCUGGUUCCAUGUCUGAUUAAAUGCAUCUCAUUGGUAUAAUGCCUCCACAUUUAAACAGCUUAAUUUUUAAAUCGCCAGAUAAUUGUGUAAUUGUGGUAUUUCUGUUGCUUGAGAUGAAUCAGGGUCUCCUCUCUAAUGGUUCUGUGGAAAUAAAAUUGCCUGAAAGCAGCCCCAGCUCUGUUCGGUGAUGUCAGUGUGGGACAGGUAAAUGAUGUUUGACUUGGCAAAUACACCUACACCUAAUAGGGACAGCUCACUCCUGAUUCCAGGAAGGACAUUACUGAUGACAUCCCUGAUGUGCUUCCACAGGCCAGUCAGCUGGUUCUUAUUUCUGCUUGUAGCAGCUUUUUUUGCAGGGUUUUGCAGCUGGGAAGCUGCACCAUUGCUGUCAAAGGAAGGUCAAUCCCUUACAGGCUUGUGGAACUGUCCUGAAGAAUAUAUACCCAAAGCAUUUUGAAUAAGCAGACCACAGAAAGUUUUCACAAUGGAAAAGUGCAGACAACUGGAGGGAAAGAACCUCACUCAAACACUACUGAACGAAACAGAGAUAUAGAAGGACAGCAGAGGUUCUUUUUCAUGGAGAAUUGAGCUGCUUUCCAUGUGGGGCCAAAGACUGCAUGCAUUGAAUGAACUGACAGCAGGAAACCUCAAGGCCACAUCAUUCCAGAGCACUGUGUGGAAAAGGAACCAAGAAGCUCCUCCAACUGCUUCUGCACUACAGAGCAACUACCACCUUUCUGCAAGUUGAAGGUUAAACCUGAUGAACAAAAGGAUUGCCAGUUUUUCCCCAAGAUGUUAAAUAGACACAGACAGCCAAUCCAAAUAUUAUAAAAUUAAAUAACCUCCUCUAUUCUACAUCAUAAAAGCAAAUUGCCACAGUUGUGUCAUUAAAUGCCACACGCAGAGAGGAUGAAGAAUCAGAGCAGCCCUUAGAUUUUUCUCCAGUCCUGUCAGCAGCACGUGUCUGCCUGCAACAAGGAACACCUAUGUCCAUGUGCUUUCUGUCAGCCUGGGUGACAAAUGCAGCCCAGGUUUGUGCUCCCAGCUAACAGAGAGAGUCAAUGAUAUAUAAAACCCCUCUUUGUUCUGAUCCAGGAAUGGAAGGCAUUGCCCAGACAAAGACAAAUUUGAUGGCUGCCUGCUGGUUGGGCAGAGUCAGCCACUGCAGCUGUGAGCUGAUUCAGAAAAAACACAGCUUUAUUUUAUGUUUAUGGGUUUGAACCCAAGCUAAAUGCGUCUGUAAAUGACUGGGGUGCCACUGUGGCUUGGCUCCCACCUCCUGCUGCAAGCCAGGCCUGCUCACUCAGGGCAGGCUGGUGCCACAAGGUCCAAUCUGCAUGGAACCAGUUCCUCCCCUCCUUGGCACAGCUGAGGCAGCCCCUCGGGGACAGCACGGGCAUCCCAGCUGAGCUGGCUGUCACCAACAGCAAAUUCCCAGAAGGACUGGGAGACCUGAGGGAAGACUGGUUCAGGAGGGUUCUCCAAUAUUUGUAAUGAUCCACCAGUGGUGUAGAACUCCCACUACGUCAAAAUUUGUCUUCCAGGUGACAAUGCCAAAAAAACCUGACUAUCAUUUUUGCAAGGCUCAGCCUCCUAAACUGCAGUGAAGGAAAACAAAAGGUUACACUACCAUAAAGUUUCACUUUUGCUCCUCCUUACUUGGUCUAGCCCCUUCUACUUCCCGCAUUCUUGCAGAGGAAAGGUUCAGGCUCCCAUAGAACUAUCUGAUGCUUCUUUGUAAAAAAUGUUUUACUAAGAGCACAUCAGAGGAAAUUGAUAUAAGUGGGCUCAUCCCCACACAAAAGGUGAGGUUGAAUCCUCUAACUGAUGAAGAUAAGCUGCUUCUAAAGGGAGUUAUGGCCCACUAGAUGGGCUGAGACCUGUCUCACAGCAGUGGCCAUGAAAUCCUGCUGCUGAUACCUGGCCUGUUUGGCUGAUUUGAGAGCCUGGGUUACAUCUGAGGUUCCAUCUAAUGUUUUUCAAAUGACUAAACUUAAGCAUUGCUAAAGCCAGGCAGACAUUAGGCUUUUAAGCUCAUACACCAUGUUCAUGACUGAACCACUGUUUGUGAUGUGUAUUACUGCUAAGUAAUACACAAACCUGCAAUUUCAGAAAUAAAAUGUGACAGCUCUCAGGCAACUGGGGCAGUAAUGAUCAUUCUAGAAUAACACCACUGAAACAGGAGAUGCUGUUGGCUGUUGUUGCAGGGCCUGUUUCCAUAAAGCUCCUAUAAAAUCCUUAUGCACAGUAACUAUUUGCAAGUGAAAACAGUGGCUGAUGUAUGCAAUUGUUGAUUCUGAAUACAGAACAGACAUCUGCAUGAGCACAUUGAUGUGCAUGCAAAUUUCCUCAAAAACACACAGAGCAGUUUUGAGCCAAAGCCACAAAUACUUUUUGUUGUAUUUCUGUUGAUUUCAGGGAUUUUUGCCCACCGAUGUUAUUUCCACACCAUUGACUUUACUCCACUGCUCUUAAAUAUCAAAAAUAUCCUCAAAUUUUCUUUACUUACAGCACAGUUAAACUGGCAUUGAGUCAAACCCAGCCCAAAUACUCUAAGAAGGAAUAAUCUCAAGAAGUAAGCUUGAUAGUCACUAAAUAAUAAAGCAUGAAUCAUACUGCUAUUUAUCUUCUCCUGCAAUGCAUAUUUGCAAGCAAAAUUCAGAGAUUUCUUCUAUUUAUUUACCUGUUUUCCCCUUCAGGAAGUCUGUUGAAUGAAGAAAAUCCUCCAAACUUUAAACCCGUGUGUAUAUGUUAAAUCUUUUCAGUAAAGAAAACUCUUCAUAAAGAUCAAACACAUCUCACAGUUCUAUUUUGCUGUUGCUGCUAAGGGAUCAAAAAACUAAGCAUGAAAAUAAAAUAUGGUGAAAAGCUUUUGAAUUCUGCAA